rnacentral:rRNA from 1 species
AACGAACGCUGGCGGCGUGCCUAACACAUGCAAGUCGCACGAGAAAUCCUGGGCAACCGGGAGAGUAAAGUGGCGCACGGGUGAGUAACGCGUGGGUAACCUACCCUUGAGUUGGGGAUAACCCCGCGAAAGCGGGGCUAAUACCGAAUAAUAAUUCAAUCUCUAUGGAGAUUGAAUUUAAAGAUGGCCUCUACAUGUAAGCUAUUGCUCAUGGAUGGGCCCGCGUACCAUUAGCUUGUUGGUAGGGUAAUGGCCUACCAAGGCAACGAUGGUUAGCUGGUCUGAGAGGAUGGCCAGCCACACUGGAACUGAGACACGGUCCAGACUCCUACGGGAGGCAGCAGUGGGGAAUCUUGCGCAAUGGGGGAAACCCUGACGCAGCAACGCCGCGUGGGUGAUGAAGGCCUUCGGGUCGUAAAGCCCUGUCAGGUGGGAAGAAACAUGUCGAUUCGAAUAGGACCGACAUUUGACGGUACUACCGGAGGAAGCACCGGCUAACUCCGUGCCAGCAGCCGCGGUAAUACGGAGGGUGCAAGCGUUGUUCGGAAUUAUUGGGCGUAAAGCGCGUGCAGGCGGUUGAG